rnacentral:misc_RNA from 1 species
GAAAAUGUUGAGUCCACAAACAAAUGCUAAGAACAUAGGUCAGAACAGAAACUCCCUCAAAACAAAAAGGGUAAUGCGGGUGACAUAAGACCAAACACCCGGAAAGAGAACAAUAAAGCUCACUCAUCCUCCUGGCUUCUCAACCUAGCCAACUUGUUGGUGACAACAAUGUCGAGCUGUGCAGCACGCUCAACAAUCCCCUUGCGCUUCUUGGUUGAGAUAUUGUGUGCAAUCUCAGCACAGUAAGUCCUAUUGUGCAUCAUCAACAGUUCAAGCUCCUUGACAUUAUGCACAACGAACUUCUUGAAUCCAUUAGGAAGAUAGUGACGGGUCUUCUUG